ACGAGCGACAUUGCUAAACUUGAGAGGAUUGCAGAAUCAUUGAAGGUCCAAUCAAGAAGCUUAGAAUUAUUUUCCAUUUCUACAUAUCUCUUUCAAAAUGAAUCAAACAAGGGCUGCAGAUACAUGAAGCCCAAAAAUUGCUGAAGCUUUCAAGAAACAAUUGUAGGGUUAAUAAAGAUUCACAAAGUCAGCAACUAUUAAAGUCACAGAGCCA
rnacentral:lncRNA from 1 species